GAUGAACGCUGGCGGCGUGCCUAAUACAUGCAAGUCGAGCGAACAGACGAGGAGCUUGCUCCUCUGACGUUAGCGGCGGACGGGUGAGUAACACGUGGAUAACCUACCUAUAAGACUGGGAUAACUUCGGGAAACCGGAGCUAAUACCGGAUAAUAUAUUGAACCGCAUGGUUCAAUAGUGAAAGACGGCUUUGCUGUCACUUAUAGAUGGAUCCGCGCCGCAUUAGCUAGUUGGUAAGGUAACGGCUUACCAAGGCAACGAUGCGUAGCCGACCUGAGAGGGUGAUCGGCCACACUGGAACUGAGACACGGUCCAGACUCCUACGGGAGGCAGCAGUAGGGAAUCUUCCGCAAUGGGCGAAAGCCUGACGGAGCAACGCCGCGUGAGUGAUGAAGGUCUUCGGAUCGUAAAACUCUGUUAUUAGGGAAGAACAAAUGUGUAAGUAACUAUGCACGUCUUGACGGUACCUAAUCAGAAAGCCACGGCUAACUACGUG
rnacentral:rRNA from 1 species